rnacentral:rRNA from 1 species
UACGUAGGUCCCGAGCGUUGUCCGGAUUUAUUGGGCGUAAAGCGAGCGCAGGUGGUUUAUUAAGUCUGGUGUAAAAGGCAGUGGCCCAACCAUUGUAUGCAUUGGAAACUGGUAGACUUGAGUGCAGGAGAGGAGAGUGGAAUUCCAUGUGUAGCGGUGAAAUGCGUAGAUAUAUGGAGGAGCACCGGUGGCGAAAGCGGCUCUCUGGCCUGUAACUGACACUGAGGCUCGAAAGCGUGGGGAGCAAACAGG